GGCCGCCGGCCGCCGCCGGAGGUAAACAGUGCAGCGGGGGGGCGGAGCGGCCGCGGUGCCGUGUCAUUUCCUGCAGCUCGGCCUCCUCGUGCCGGCCGAUGAGCACGCGGCGCCACCUGGUGGCGAGAUCCGGCCGCUGCGGGUCGCGGUCCCGGCGGGAAGCGGCGCAGCGGGCAGCACGAGCAGUUGCACAGGAUGGUUACUAACUGAAGCAUGAGAACGAUGGCAGAAUGAUUGUCCUGUAUAUCUCAAAAACAGAGGUGCAAAAUGUGUCUCCACCCUGUUUGCCUUGGUCCGUUGUAGAAGUGCACAAGAGAUGCCACUGUGAGGAUCCAUGCACCCUGCAGAGCAGGCAAGAAAACAAGCAUUUCCUGUCUGCUUGUGCUCCUUGGGAUGUUCCUAGGCGUGUUUUCUAUGACAGUAUAGCACACAGGGAAAUCUGUGUAGAAGAGAAUUCACAUUAUUCUGCUGAAUUCCACAGCAUUUGGACACGCCAUCUCUGUUAUUUUCCAGGGUUGUUUUGUAGUGUUUUUAUUUCAGUGAUGUAAGGGCUGUCUUUUACUGCCAAGCCCAUAAUUAAAGUGGUGUUGACUUGUAAGUAAUGGGCUGCAAAAGGUGUACCAGAAGAUAAUUAAAGAUGCACUGUAGAUAAGGGGGCAUGAACAUUCUUUUUAUGAGGUGUUAAUGUCUGAAGACCAACUAGUGAAAUUGAUCUUGCCUCCAUCAGGAUGAAAGAUCUGGUUAAACAUCAAUAACACUGCGGUGCACUAGAAAAUGUUUGAUGUAGGGAUUUCUAGAGGUCUAUACUUGAGCGCAGGCUCCCCAGGCAGGCGCCUGGUGGCAGAGCCAUGCGGCACCGGGUGAUUUUGGCAUCGUAUCCAUGCUAACGUGGUUCUUUGCAUAUCCAAAUGCUGGGGCUGCUCGGGAGGGAGAGAGGAGAGUUGCUCCUAGUGCCCUGAUCUGGACUAAGAUAGAUGCAAACCUUUUUCAGAGCCAUUAUAACGAGCGCUGUGGCUAGUCCUUUUCUAACAAUAACUUUGCUGCCUCUCCUAAAUGUCCACUACAAAUAUUCUUUUUUCCUUUUUUUUUUUUUUCU